rnacentral:lncRNA from 1 species
GCUCCACAUUAAUUAGCUUCAAUGAAUCUGAACAUGUGCAUGAAUGUCCAGCCUCCCAUUCCAGCAACCUGUUAAGACACAUUUAAACAAACGGUGAAAGCCUCAAUAAGACAAUAUUGAACACAAUUAAAUAUGUAAUAAGCUAAGACACAUUCAGAAAACUGAUUUGCUAAUAUGCAAUAAAUCUGUCCGAAAUUGGACAUGCUUAAUGGACAA